GUGGGGAAUAUUGGACAAUGGGCGCAAGCCUGAUCCAGCCAUGCCGCGUGAGUGAUGAAGGCCUUAGGGUUGUAAAGCUCUUUUGUCCGGGAAGAUAAUGACUGUACCGGAAGAAUAAGCCCCGGCUAACUUCGUGCCAGCAGCCGCGGUAAUACGAAGGGGGCUAGCGUUGCUCGGAAUCACUGGGCGUAAAGGGCGCGUAGGCGGACUUUUAAGUCGGAGGUGAAAGCCCAGGGCUCAACCCUGGAAUUGCCUUCGAUACUGGGAGUCUUGAGUUCGGAAGAGGUUGGUGGAACUGCGAGUGUAGAGGUGAAAUUCGUAGAUAUUCGCAAGAACACCGGUGGCGAAGGCGGCCAACUGGUCCGAAACUGACGCUGAGGCGCGAAAGCGUGGGGAGCAAACAGGAUUAGAAACCCGAGUAGUCC
rnacentral:rRNA from 1 species